AACGAACGCUGGCGGCAGGCCUAACACAUGCAAGUCGAGCGAGACCUUCGGGUCUAGCGGCGGACGGGUGAGUAACGCGUGGGAACGUGCCCUUUGGUACGGAAUAGCCCCGGGAAACUGGGAGUAAUACCGUAUAAGCUCUUCGGAGGAAAGAUUUAUCGCCAAAGGAUCGGCCCGCGUUGGAUUAGGUAGUUGGUGGGGUAAUGGCCUACCAAGCCGACGAUCCAUAGCUGGUUUGAGAGGAUGAUCAGCCACACUGGGACUGAGACACGGCCCAGACUCCUACGGGAGGCAGCAGUGGGGAAUCUUAGACAAUGGGCGCAAGCCUGAUCUAGCCAUGCCGCGUGAGCGAUGAAGGCCUUAGGGGUUGUAAAGCUCUUUCAGUGGGGAAGAUAAUGACUGUACCCACAGAAGAAGCCCCGGCUAACUCCGUG
rnacentral:rRNA from 1 species